rnacentral:rRNA from 1 species
GAUGAACGCUGACAGAAUGCUUAACACAUGCAAGUCAACUUGAACUUCGGUUUGGGUGGCGGACGGGUGAGUCACGCGUAAAGAACUUGCCUCACAGAUAGGGACAACAUUUGGAAACGAAUGCUAAUACCUGAUAUUAUGAUUAUAUGGCAUCGUAUAAUUAUGAAAGCUAUAUGCGCUGUGAGAGAGCUUUGCGUCCCAUUAGCUAGUUGGAGAGGUAACGGCUCACCAAGGCGAUGAUGGGUAGCCGGCCUGAGAGGGUGAUCGGCCACAAGGGGACUGAGACACGGCCCUUACUCCUACGGGAGGCAGCAGUGGGGAAUAUUGGACAAUGGACCAAGAGUCUGAUCCAGCAAUUCUGUGUGCACGAUGAAGUUUUUCGGAAUGUAAAGUGCUUUCAGUUGGGAAGAAAAAAAUGACGGUACCAACAGAAGAAGUGACGGCUAAAUACGU